GACGAACGCUGGCGGCGUGCUUAACACAUGCAAGUCGAACGAAGUGGCGAACGGGUGAGUAACGCGUAAUCCACCUGCCCUUCAGAGGGGGACAACAGUUGGAAACGACUGCUAAUACCGCAUACUGAAGGAGGGGCUUGCGGCUGAUUAGCUAGUUGGGGGGGUAACGGCCCAACAAGGCGAUGAUCAGUAGCCUGUCUGGGAGGAUGGACGGCCACAAUGGGACUGGGACACGGCCCAGACUCCUACGGGGGGCAGCAGUUGGGAAUCUUCCGCAAUGGACGAAAGUCUGACGGAGCAACGCCGCGUGAGUGAUGAAGGCCUUCGGGUUGUAAAGCUCUGUUAAUCGGGACGCGGUACCGGAAUAGAAAGCCACGGCUAACUACGUGCCAGCAGCCGCGGUAAUUC
rnacentral:rRNA from 1 species